GAUGAACGCUGGCGGCGUGCCUAAUACAUGCAAGUCGAGCGAACAGACGAGGAGCUUGCUCCUCUGACGUUAGCGGCGGACGGGUGAGUAACACGUGGAUAACCUACCUAUAAGACUGGGAUAACUUCGGGAAACCGGAGCUAAUACCGGAUAAUAUAUUGAGCCGCAUGGUUCAAUAGUGAAAGACGGUUUUGCUGUCACUUAUAGAUGGAUCCGCGCCGCAUUAGCUAGUUGGUAAGGUAACGGCUUACCAAGGCAACGAUGCGUAGCCGACCUGAGAGGGUGAUCGGCCACACUGGAACUGAGACACGGUCCAGACUCCUACGGGAGGCAGCAGUAGGGAAUCUUCCGCAAUGGGCGAAAGCCUGACGGAGCAACGCCGCGUGAGUGAUGAAGGUCUUCGGAUCGUAAAACUCUGUUAUUAGGGAAGAACAAAUGUGUAAGUAACUAUGCACGUCUUGACGGUACCUAAUCAGAAAGCCACGGCUAACUGCGUG
rnacentral:rRNA from 1 species